UAAUAUGGCUUCUCUUAACCUAAGAUUUUUUCGCCUUUUACUAAAGAAUUCCGUGGAGAGAAGCAGUUCAAUGAGUCUUACUAUCUUUUUUUGCAUCUGAUUUAGGUCGAGUU
ensembl:snRNA U5 U5 spliceosomal RNA